CCCUUGACUCUGGGAUAACUGCGGGAAACUGUACCUAAUACCGGAUACGACGCCUUGGGGCAUCCCACGGGCGUGGAAAGAAUUUCGGUCAAGGAUGAGCUCGCGGCCUAUCAGCUAGUUGGUGAGGUAAUGGCUCACCAAGGSGACGACGGGUAGCCGGCCUGAGAGGGUGACCGGCCACACUGGGACUGAGACACGGCCCAGACUCCUACGGGAGGCAGCAGUGGGGAAUAUUGCGCAAUGGGCGAAAGCCUGACGCAGCAACGCCGCGUGAGGGAUGAAGGCCUUCGGGUUGUAAACCUCUUUUAUCAGGGAAGAAGCGAAAGUGACGGUACCUGAAGAAAAAGCACCGGCUAACUACGUG
rnacentral:rRNA from 1 species